rnacentral:lncRNA from 1 species
CGAUCUCCGUCGCAGACUACACCCCCAAAGGUCUUAUAAAGGAGGACUCCAUACUCUGUCCAAAGACAUCAGUCUAAAAACAUCAGACUUACCUUUAACGUUUUCUGUAAAAAGAUAAAAUUGGUGUUGGACAUGUCGAUCCUCCCUUCCAAACUCGUCGAUUUCACCCCCAACUCGUCGGUUACACCCCAAAAUCGGCGAUUUAAACCGUUACUCGCGUCCAAUUCGAGUCAUAAUGGUCGUAACGGCUGCCAUUAUGGCGUCCCUAGAGGUCUUAUAAAAAAGGACUCCAG